rnacentral:tRNA from 1 species
GGUGGCUCAGUGGUAGAGUGCUUGCCUUGCAUGCAUGAGGUCCUGGGUUCUAUUCCUUAGCACCA